AACGAACGCUGGCGGCAUGCCUAAUACAUGCAAGUCGAACGAGAUCUUCGGAUCUAGUGGCGCACGGGUGCGUAACGCGUGGGAAUCUGUCCUUGGGUUCGGAAUAACAGCGGGAAACUGCUGCUAAUACCGGAUGAUGACGUAAGUCCAAAGAUUUAUCGCCCAGGGAUGAGCCCGCGUAGGAUUAGGUAGUUGGUGGGGUAAAGGCCUACCAAGCCUACGAUCCUUAGCUGGUCUGAGAGGAUGAUCAGCCACACUGGGACUGAGACACGGCCCAGACUCCUACGGGAGGCAGCAGUAGGGAAUAUUGGACCAUGGGGGCAACCCUGAUCCAGCAAUGCCGCGUGAGUGAUGAAGGCCUUAGGGUUGUAAAGCUCUUUUACCCGGGAUGAUAAUGACAGUACCGGGAGAAUAAGCCCCGGCUAACUCCGUGCCAGCAGCCGCCGUAA
rnacentral:rRNA from 1 species